rnacentral:rRNA from 1 species
UGGGGAAUCUUGCACAAUGGGCGAAAGCCUGAUGCAGCGACGCCGCGUGCGGGAUGAAGGCCUUCGGGUUGUAAACCGCUUUCAGCAGGGACGAGGCUGCAAGGUGACGGUACCUGCAGAAGAAGCCUCGGCUAACUACGUGCCAGCAGCCGCGGUAAUACGUAGGGGGCAGGCGUUAUCCGGAUUCAUUGGGCGUAAAGCGCGCGUAGGCGGUUUGUUAGGUCAGGAGUUAAAUCUGGGGGCUCAACCCCUAUCCGCUCCUGAUACCGGCAGGCUUGAGUCUGGUAGGGGAAGGCGGAAUUCCAAGGGUAGCGGUGAAAUGCGGAGAUAUUUGGAAGAACACCGGUGGCGGAGGCGGCGUUCUGGGCCACGACUGGCGCUGGGGCGAGAAAGCUAGGGGAGCGAACAGG